UGACAUGGGCGGAAGCUGAUCAGCCAUGCCGCGUGUGUGAAGAAGGCCUUUUGGUUGUAAAGCACUUUAAGCGAGGAGGAGGCUACUUGGAUUAAUACUCUGGGAUAGUGGACGUUACUCGCAGAAUAAGCACCGGCUAACUCUGUGCCAGCAGCCGCGGUAAUACAGAGGGUGCGAGCGCUAAUCGGAUUUACUGGGCGUAAAGCGUGCGUAGGCGGCUGAUUAAGUCGGAUGUGAAAUCCCUGAGCUUAACUUAGGAAUUGCAUUCGAUACUGGUCAGCUAGAGUAUGGGAGAGGAUGGUAGAAUUCCAGGUGUAGCGGUGAAAUGCGUAGAGAUCUGGAGGAAUACCGAUGGCGAAGGCAGCCAUCUGGCCUAAUACUGACGCUGAGGUACGAAAGCAUGGGGAGCAAACAGGAUUAGAUACCCUGGUAGUCCAUGCCGUAAACGAUGUCUACUAGCCGUUGGGGCCUUUGAGGCUUUAGUGGCGCAGCUAACGCGAUAAGUAGACCGCCUGGGGAGUACGGUCGCAAGACUAAAACUCAAAUGAAUUGACGGGGGCCCGCACAAGCGGUGGAGCAUGUGGUUUAAUUCGAUGCAACGCGAAGAACCUUACCUGGCCUUGACAUACUAGAAACUUUCCAGAGAUGGAUUGGUGCCUUCGGGAAUCUAGAUUCGGUGUUGCUGGCUGUCG
rnacentral:rRNA from 1 species